rnacentral:rRNA from 1 species
UACGAAGGGGGCUAGCGUUGCUCGGAAUUACUGGGCGUAAAGCGCACGUAGGCGGCUUUGUAAGUAAGAGGUGAAAGCCCAGAGCUCAACUCUGGAAUUGCCUUUUAGACUGCAUCGCUUGAAUCAUGGAGAGGUCAGUGGAAUUCCGAGUGUAGAGGUGAAAUUCGUAGAUAUUCGGAAGAACACCAGUGGCGAAGGCGGCUGACUGGACAUGUAUUGACGCUGAGGUGCGAAAGCGUGGGGAGCAAACAGG